GUAUGCAGGGAGAGGGGUUCUGUGCUCCUGAGAUUAGUUCAGAUGGUCUAACCAUUGUUCUAUAUGUGCAUUUUAGUUAAUAUUGUGUAUUAAAGGAUAAGUCUUAAUGCUCAAAGUAUGUUAAAAAUAGAUGUAGUAAAUCAGUCCCUUUGUGAAUGUCCUUUUGUUAGUUUUUAGGAAGGCCUGUCCUCUGGGAGUGACCUUUAUUAGUCCACCCCUUGGAGCUAGACAUCCUGUACUUAGUCACGGGGAUGGUGGAAGAGGGAGAAGAGGAAGGGUGAAGGGAAGGGCUCUUUGCUAGUAUCUCCAUAUCUAGACGAUGGUUUUAGAUGAUAACCACAGGUCUACAAGAGCGUUUUUAGUAAAGUGCCUGUGUUCAUUGUGGACAAAGUUAUUAUUUUGCAACAUCUAAGCUUUACGAAUGGGGUGACAACUUAUGAUAAAAACUAGAGCUAGUGAAUUAGCCUAUUUGUAAAUACCUUUGUUAUAAUUGAUAGGAUACAUCUUGGACAUGGAAUUGUUAAGCCACCUCUGAGCAGUGUAUGUCAGGACUUGUUCAUUAGGUUGGCAGCAGAGGGGCAGAAGGAAUUAUACAGGUAGAGAUGUAUGCAGAUGUGUCCAUAUAUGUCCAUAUUUACAUUUUGAUAGCCAUUGAUGUAUGCAUCUCUUGGCUGUACUAUAAGAACACAUUAAUUCAAUGGAAAUACACUUUGCUAAUAUUUUAAUGGUAUAGAUCUGCUAAUGAAUUCUCUUAAAAACAUACUGUAUUCUGUUGCUGUGUGUUUCAUUUUAAAUUGAGCAUUAAGGGAAUGCAGCAUUUAAAUCAGAACUCUGCCAAUGCUUUUAUCUAGAGGCGUGUUGCCAUUUUUGUCUUAUAUGAAAUUUCUGUCCCAAGAAAGGCAGGAUUACAUCUUUUUUUUUUUUUUUAGCAGUUUGAGUUGGUGUAGUGUAUUCUUGGUUAUCAGAAUACUCAUAUAGCUUUGGGAUUUUGAAUUGGUAAAUAUUCAUGAUGUGUGAAAAAUCAUGAUACAUACUGUACAGUCUCAGUCCCAUAAAAUUGGAUGUUGUGCCUACACACAGGAUCUAGAAGAAUAUGUCAAACUAUAAACUGCUUGUGAUUGUGAAUGACUUUGUUCUUUGCUUGUGUUUUUCAAUUUCCUAUAAUGCACAUACUAACUUUUAAAAAAUAAAGGUUAUUUUAAAAGCC
rnacentral:lncRNA from 1 species